rnacentral:rRNA from 1 species
AGAGUUUGAUCAUGGCUCAGGACGAACGCUGGCGGUGUGCCUCACACAUGCAAGUCGAACGGGGUAGCAGCAAUGUUACCUAGUGGCGGACGGGUGAGUAACACGUGGGAAUCUGCCCUCAAGUGGUGAAUAACUGGCCGAAAGGCUAGCUAAUGUGCCAUACGUCGCAAGAUAAAAGUAGCAAUACGCUCGAGGAUGAGCCCGCGUCCGAUUAGCUAGUUGGUAGGAUAAAGGCCUACCAAGGCUGCGAUCGGUAGCUGGUCUGAGAGGAUGAUCAGCCACAAUGGGACUGAGACACGGCCCAUACUCCUACGGGAGGCAGCAGUGGGGAAUUUUACACAAUGGGGGAAACCCUGAUGUAGCGACACCGCGUGAGCGAAGAAGCCCUUUGGGGUGUAAAGCUCUGUCAGCAGGGACGAAGAAAGUGACGGUACCUGCAGAGGAAGCAUCGGCUAACUACGUGCCAGCAGCCGCGGUAAGACGUAGGAUGCGAGCGUUGUCCGGAUUUAUUGGGCGUAAAGAGUUCGUAGGUGGUUUUAUAAGUCUGGUGUAAAAGGCUGGGGCUCAACCCUGGUACGGCACUGGAUACUGUAAGACUGGAGUGCAGUAGAGGCAAGCGGAAUUCCCAGUGUAGCGGUGAAAUGCGUAGAUAUUGGGAAGAACACCGGUGGNGCAAGCGGCUUGCUGGGCUGUAACUGACGCUGAGGAACGAAAGCUAGGGGAGCAAAUGGGAUUAGAUACCCCCGUAGUCC